AACUGAUGAUGCCAUUUUUUAUUUGCUGAAUCGCUAGAGAAAUGUAUUUUAUUGGCAUUUAAUUUCAAUAUUUUUAUCACAACUUCCUUUAUUUUAUUCAGCAAACGGCAAAGUUUACUGGAAACAACGGAAAGCAACUUCGAGGUACCUCAAGUUCCUGAUACCAGCUGCGAACUGAUUGACAGCGCCGAUCCCACCGAUCCCAACCAUAGUGAACCGUGACUACUCAAGCAAAAAUGCUACUUCAUUUCUUUGUAGGCCUACUCAAUGACGUGGGAACCGGGGAGAGGGGUUACACCCCUCUCCUGAAAACCGAGUGGGGAAGCGAAAUGGUAACAUGCUGGACGCGCAUUCGGGAGGACACGGGUUCUAUUCCCGGUCGAGUGAUUACGGCUUCGGGCACGGAUCUCCGUGUCAUGACACUACCGCUGCCAGAUGAAUAGGUCAGCGACGACUCCAAAGAGAAAUAUAUAUAGAGAAGACGGUGGAAGUUCAUCUGUGCUGAAGAAACGAUUGUGUUGCCAAACAAAAUAGAUUUUCAUGUGACACUGUUUGCAGAAACCUCAGAAAACACAAGGAAAGAGGUAUGUAAGGAAAUUAGAAAAUGAGCUGAAACAUUAAACUCUUUUGACACUCCAUAGAAAGGAAGAAUUAUUUUCUGUUUAAUGCUGGCAUGUGAAGACAUUAGAACAUUUUCUUGUCGAUUAAAUUCUUUGGACAUUCAAUGAAAAUGAAUUAUUUUGUGAAUUUUUGUUAUAAUAGUGCUUUUUUUAUUUCACUUAGAAUUUUAUUUCAUUGCCGGUUAAUUGAUAGUAACUAAGAAAGUGAAAUAAAUUUUUUUUUUGGAGAAAUAAAGAGUAUUUUUUACAACCUUAUAUUUCAUGAUUGUCUAUCUUCAAAACUUACCAAACUUGGGUGAUUCAUAUGGAAAAAAUAAUGCUGUCAUUUAAAGGAAAGAAAAGUGUAAAGAUUUUUGCUGAACGUUCAUAAUAAAUAAUUUUACCUUUUGACAUGUCAGUUAUCUUUAAAACACAUUGUAGUUAUUAGUAUGUACAAGAAAGAAAGUGCAAGA